UUUCCUCUUCCGCGUAAAACCCUAGCGCCGCACCUCGUUUCUUUCCUCUCUUUCUGCCAAAAAUUGCAAAAAUGCAAAGGUUACAGAGAGACCACAGCUUUUGCAUGUCUAUUAUGGUGAAACAAUUAAUGUUUCCACCCGAUUUCACGAAAAUAACUCCAAACACGGUAAUGAAUCAUUUCCUUUACUCUAUUUUUUUUAAUUUUUCAAGUCAAACCUGUGUUUUAUUGUUGUACUUUACUCAACCCUCAUUGGUUGAAUGAGAAUGGGUUAGAUCGAGUCAAACAAAACUCAAAUCUGAACAUUCAUUGUUGAUUCAAGUUGAUCUAGGUCGUAGGGAGGUUUUGCAAAGGUUAAUUUCUGGGAAAUCUUGUUUGUCCCACAUCGUUUGUUUAAACUCCUUGUAUGAACUUUAGGGGUUCUAAAAUAGAACCCCAACCCUUACUAGAAAAACAAGUUUGGAGAAUCCUAAAAGCUUGAGAUUUGAAUUAAAAAGUCAAAACUCGAGCUUACCAGUAUAAUUUUAGGCUUUAACUUUAAGGUUGAGGUUUUCCUAGUUCUAAAGUUUAUUUUUCUUUGUGUUUUGUGUGGUUGAGUGUGGGAUUUGGAAGCAUAAAGGGUCUUCAAAUCCAGUCUUGUACCCGGCUGCGCAUAAAAAAGCCACCCCCAAUAGGAAAACUCUUUCAAAGAUUAUUGAGUUCAAGAAAAGAAAUGGAAGCUAAUAUUGUUAAAGACGCAAAGUAGGCCCAACCAUGGGUGAAAAUGGCCAACUAAGGGCUUGGUACGCCCCCAGUCUUCCCUUUCUCUUUACUUAUGCAUUAUUUGUUAUAUGUAAUUGAUUGUAUCAUGUAUUUGUAAAGUUGUAAAACUCAUGUAUAUUAUUGGAAUCAUUAUGAUUAUGAACUAAUCGUCUUA